rnacentral:RNase_P_RNA from 1 species
GCGAUGAACCGGGCCGCCGCGACGCGGCGGGCGCAGACGCUCGCGCGCGUUGAGGAAAGUCCGGGCUCCAUAGGGCGUGACGCCGGGUAACUCCCGGGCGGGGGUAAAACCCCGACAGCAAGCGCAACAGAAAACAAACCGCCCGCCGUUGUAUUCCAGCGACGGGUAAGGGUGAAACGGCGCGGUAAGAGCGCACCGCGGGUUUGGCGACAAACCCGGCAAGGCAAGCCUCGUUAGGAGCAAAGUUAAACAGCGGCGCAUACGCGGGCGUAACGACGUCCGCGCGAACUGCCCGUUCAGCCGCGGGUAAACUGCGAAGACGCGGUCUGCAAAGACGGCGGUAAGAUAGAUGGCGGCCGAACGUUCUCAAUGAACGUUACAGAACCCGGCUUACGGUUCAUCGCCUUU